CUGGAGAGAUGGAGAAAACUUUGGAACACAAGCAGGAAGCAUCCGCCUUGAGGGUAAUAUAAGGGCUGAGGGAUGCUCUGCCCGCCCCGCCCAAGAAUGUGCCUGGAACUUUCCGACCAAUGGCCUGGUUGCCUGGGCUCCCAACGGUCUUCGAAGUCUGCAGCAUCAUCAUGGCCGUCAUAAGCAGCAUUGCUGUGGUAACG
rnacentral:lncRNA from 1 species